rnacentral:rRNA from 1 species
UACGUAGGUGGCAAGCGUUGUCCGGAUUUACUGGGCGUAAAGCGCGCGCAGGCGGUCGUUCAAGUCGCGUGUGAAAGCCCCCGGCUCAACUGGGGAGGGUCACGCGAUACUGAUCGACUCGAAGGCAGGAGAGGGAAGUGGAAUUCCCGGUGUAGUGGUGAAAUGCGUAGAUAUCGGGAGGAACACCAGUGGCGAAGGCGGCAUCCUGGACCGAGAUUGACGCUGAUGCGCGAAAGCCAGGGGAGCAAACGGG